UGCGCAGGCGGACUAAUAAGUCAGUGGUGAAGUCUCUCGGCUCAACCGAGAAACUGCCAUUGAAACUGUUAGUCUUGAGUACAGUUGUAGUGGGCGGAAUAUAGCAUGUAGCGGUGAAAUGCUUAGAUAUGCUAUAGAACACCGAUCGCGAAGGCAGCUCACUAAGCUGUAACUGACGCUCAGGCACGAAAGCGUGGGGAGCAAACAGGAUUAGAUACCCUGGUAGUCC
rnacentral:rRNA from 1 species